GACGAACGCUGGCGGCGUGCCUAAUACAUGCAAGUAGAACGCACAGUUUAUACCGUAGCUUGCUACACCAUAAACUGUGAGUUGCGAACGGGUGAGUAACGCGUAGGUAACCUGCCUGGUAACGGGGGGUAACUAUUGGAAACGAUAGCUAAUACCGCAUAAUAUUAAUUAUUGCAUGGUAAUUGAUUGAAAGUUGCAAUUGCAUCACUACCAGAUGGACCUGCGUUGUAUUAGCUAGUAGGUGAGGUAACGGCUCGCCUAGGCGACGAUACAUAGCCGACCGGAGAGGGCGAUCGGCCACACUGGGACUGAGACACGGCCCAGACUCCUACGGGAGGCAGCAGUAGGGAAUCUUCGGCAAUGGACGAAAGUCUGACCGAGCAACGCCGCGUGAGUGAAGAAGGUUUUCGGAUCGUAAAGCUCUGUUGUAAGAGAAGAACGGGUGUGAGAGUGGAAAGUUCACACUGUGACGGUAUCUUACCAGAAAGGGACGGCUAACUACGUG
rnacentral:rRNA from 1 species